GUUGUGCAUGCCCUGAGGACUUAAUUUCUUGAAAGGAACUAUGGCCCACUUACAGGUUUUACUGGGUGCAUGUGUGUGCACGUGUGUGUGUAUGCAUAUGUGUUCACACACAGGUAUGCUUGUGUGUAUUGUGUGUGCAUGCAUGUGUACAUGUGCAUGUGGAUUUUGUAAUCAUGUGCAUAAGUGCAUGUGGAUUUCAUAUGCACGUGUGCAAGUGUCUGUGUGCACACAUGUGGAUUGAGCGAUGCAUGUUUGUGUAUGUGCACAGAUGUGUUGGCAUGUGCUUGUGGAUUUUGCAUGUGUGCAUGUUUGUGCUUGGGUUGCAUAUGCAUUGCAUGUUUCCCGUGUGUGUCCAUUCACAUGCAUACAUUUAGGGGUGUGCAAGCACAUGUGUGCAUGUGGAUAGAUGCAGGAGUGUGCAUCUGGGUGUGCUCGUGUGGUAUGUGCAUACUGCAUGAAUAUAUCAUGUGCAUCUGUGCAUGACAUGCAUGUGUUUAUGCAUACAGGUGUUAACAUGUGCACACAUCAGUGUGUGC
rnacentral:lncRNA from 1 species